UGUGCUAGUUUUGGGGGACUUUGACCUUUGAUUCUACCACUAUACUUACAAUUUUCUAAAGUUGCCAAGAGAAUAACAGAUAUGUGUGACAUGCGUGGCAUCAUCUAAUCCUCCUAAUGUGUUCUAUAAUUGCAGAUGCCAUCAACCUCAGAGGGGAGUAUUUACCUUGAAAUGGCUCACUUCCUGAGGAACAAACUUGCUGGAUCUAGUUUACAGAAACCUGAUUCUGGGUUCCUUUGGGAAGGAGCAUUAUGGGCCUGCUCCUGGACCACCUCAUAUCACCAGCACCCUCUACCCAAGGUCCUGGAGCCAACACUGGAGUAAAAGAGCACAAGAGAGCUCCUUAGAGGUGGAAGGGUAUUGUACAGCACUGCCUAUGAGGCAUGGAGGAGUCUCACAUGAAGGCCGCCUGCAUCCUGGGGGAGUUGCUGAAGCUGCUGCCCACGUUUCUCACAGGGAGGCCAGGGAAGAUCAGCCCCAUUCUGUACACAGGCAAGCCAUGAACUGAGGACAUCCCUUUCAGGCCUUCCCAAUGGGGCAGGAUGGAAGUAGGAGCCCCACUAGUCUCCCCUUAACCUGGAAUCCCCCACUAUCCACAGCUCGCUCAUUGGAGGGGACACACUGGGCACCCAGGCCUCAAGGUAAUUGGGGAGGGACAGUCCCAAGGCCUCACCUGCCCCUGGUCCUGGCUCUGCACAAAGGCAAUAAGAGAGGGAUGGUGCUAAGAAGGAUGGCGUGCUGCUGUGGAAGAUGCUGGACUGAAAUUCAGAAGGCCAAAGAUGCAGUGGUCUCAUAGGAGCAUCUACUCUCUGCUGCUCUUGCUAUUCCUGUCUUUGUGGGGAAGAUGGAUGAUUCAUCUGCAUAUGCUGCACUGAGCAGAAGGAAAGGAAACCCACCAUUUUGGAUCAUGGAGUGCAGGAUUUAUGAGUCUCCUGGAGGCUGGAGAAUCAAAAUACAAAGCCGUGUUCCAGCUCUGGAGUGCAACAGCCCACUACUAAAUACACAUGUAUUUGCAGCCUUUUUGGCUCAAGGCUAGACGCUUGUCAGUCCUUAGGUUGAGAAAGCAGGCAUGGUGACAAUUAUGACCUCUCCUAUUUCCUCAAAUCUCUAAUUUGUUCUUGCUUCUAAUGCAGGAUACCCUCUGAGGUCAAAUCAUUGGACUUGUGGCCAUGAGACCACAGACUUUGCCUGGCUUCCAGUGACUGUCCAAGAUGACCGGUGGAGUGCACCGCCUGUACUUGGACAUCACUGUCUUUUCGGAUCCAUACCUGUCAUCCUUGGAAUUUCCCCUGUAUCCAAACCUGUUCCUGAUACAGGUGUGAGUAAUGAGUAAGGAAUUUAUGGUUUUAUUUAAAGAUAGGAGCUUUGCUUUUUAAAACUGCUGCUCAUGUACAGGUCCCAGGCCAGUGGAAUCAUGGCAACACAGAUUCCCAGAGCUAGAAGGAACUUGUGGUAUCAUUCAGUCAUCCAAUCAAAUAAUAUUUGCACCUAAUCUGUACAAGGAACCAGUGACAUAAGGAAUAAAGGAUUAGAAAAUGGGCUCCACAUAAAAUUUUUUUAAAGGAAAACCUCACAAUGCAAUUGAGAGGAAUAUUUGCACCGUUCUUUUUGGAUAUCAGGAAGUAAAUAGUGUUCCCCAUGAGAAUGGGAAAGACUUCACAGCGGAGCUGUCAUCUGGGCUGGACCUAUUUGUGGGUGAGUAGCAUUUCACACACAGCAUGCACCAGCACAGAGAUAAAAAAAAAAAGUUU